UAACCUGCCCAAGAGAUCGGGAUAACACCUGGAAACAGAUGCUAAUACCGGAUAACAACAGAUGAUGCCUAUCAACUGUUUAAAAGAUGGUUCUGCUAUCACUCUUGGAUGGACCUGCGGUGCAUUAGCUAGUUGGUAGGGUAACGGCCUACCAAGGCGAUGAUGCAUAGCCGAGUUGAGAGACUGAUCGGCCGCAUUGGGACUGAGACACGGCCCAAACUCCUACGGGAGGCAGCAGCG
rnacentral:rRNA from 1 species